UGGACUAUUGAUGGGCUCACCCAGGCCGUACACAACGCUUCUAUUUCCAGGCCAUGAAUCUUGUUUUACGACCAUUGCUUCCUUACUUUUUAAGAGUUUUGCCCAUAAAAUGAUGGUGGGUGAAUUUCCAACCUACAAGAACGAACUUUCAUGUGACAUGGCAAACGGAAAAAAAAAAAAAAAUACUCACUCCUGUAUAAUUGAUAUACAACAAAAUACUCACUCUUGUAUAAUUGAUAUACAACAAACACAUUUACUGUACAUUCAAUAGACAUGCUUAAAUACUCACAAGUUGUAAAAAUGCAGCAAUUUCAAACCAAUAUUGCAAAGUACAGUGUUCAGGACAUAAAAGUGGAACACAUAAUACAAAACUUAAUAGAAGAAAUCUCAAAUAGACAUUUUAUCGAACAUCUAGAAAUAUUGCUUGGCCAAAGUGGUCAUAUAAUUCAGAAAAUGUUUAUAUUUGAAUAUGGGUAAAUCAAAACUCCAAAGAAGAUAUUCUAUAACUCACUUCAAAAGCCAUGUCAAAUUGGUCACACGAUUUCUCCGCAAAUUGGGUACACCUUAUAAACUGCAGGCUACC
rnacentral:lncRNA from 1 species